rnacentral:rRNA from 1 species
GAUGAACGCUGGCGGCGUGCCUAAUACAUGCAAGUCGAACGAAACUUCUUUAUCACCGAGUGCUUGCACUCACCGAUACAGAGUUGAGUGGCGAACGGGUGAGUAACACGUGGGCAACCUGCCCAAAAGAGGGGGAUAACACUUGGAAACAGGUGCUAAUACCGCAUAACCAUAGUUACCGCAUGGUAACUAUGUAAAAGGUGGCUAUACUACCGCUUUUGGAUGGGCCCGCGGCGCAUUAGCUAGUUGGUAGGGUAAAGGCUUACCAAGGCAAUGAUGCGUAGCCGAAUUGAGAGGUUGAUCGGCCACAUUGGGACUGAGACACGGCCCAAACUCCUACGGGAGGCAGCAGUAGGGAAUCUUCCACAAAGGGCGAAAGCCUGAUGGAGCAACGCCGCGUGGGUGAAGAAGGUCUUCGGAUCGUAAAACCCUGUUGUUAGAGAAGAAAGUGCGUGAGAGUAACUGUUCACGUUUCGACGGUAUCUAACCAGAAAGCCACGGCUAACUACGUG